rnacentral:rRNA from 1 species
GACGAACGCUGGCGGCGUGCUUAACACAUGCAAGUCGAACGGAAAGGCCCUGCUUUUGUGGGGUGCUCGAGUGGCGAACGGGUGAGUAACACGUGAGUAACCUGCCCUUGACUUUGGGAUAACUUCAGGAAACUGGGGCUAAUACCGGAUAGGAGCUCCUGCUGCAUGGUGGGGGUUGGAAAGUUUCGGCGGUUGGGGAUGGACUCGCGGCUUAUCAGCUUGUUGGUGGGGUAGUGGCUUACCAAGGCUUUGACGGGUAGCCGGCCUGGGAGGGUGAGCGGCGGGCUUGGACGGGCUGCACGCCCCAGAGGACGGGGGGGGGGGGGGGGGGUGAACGAUGGACAAGGGCGGGCAGCGUGAGCGGGAGGCGCGGAGGGGGGAAGGGCGGCUUGCGGUUGGUCGCCCGUUUUCGCCGGGGGAGAGGCGACUGGGAAGAUGAUGGAUAAAGAACAACCGACUAACUACGUGCCAGCAGCCGCGGUAAAGAG